GGAUCGAUAGCUCAGUGGUAGAGGUGAGUUUCACUGCCAUGUCUUGAAUUAAAACAUCCCAUCCUAACAGUCAUUCAGCGGGAGAUUGCAGAUCUUCAGGCCGCGUGUUCAAACCACGCUCGGUCCU